rnacentral:tRNA from 1 species
GGGCGAGUAGUUCAGUGGGAGAACGCCUCGCUUACAACGAGGAAGUCGGAGGUUCAAUCCCUCUCUCGCCCA